CUGGAUCCUCAUGCAGACACUGGCGCUUUAGCACCAGCGCUCAAGCGCUGUUUUUCAACUGUUGAGCAAAGUUAAUGAGAGCUGUCAAUCCUCAUGACAGCUUUGGUGCUUUAGCGCCGUUUACUCCCACUACCCGCUUUUCACCAAUCAACGCUCGGUGUCAAAGCGCCGGUGUCUCUCUAUAUGAGGAUCCAGCCUAACACUAUCCUCACAUUGCACGUUGUUCUUCUUCUAUGCACAGACUGGCACAGACCAAUUCUCUUAGUAAACUCAUUGUUAGUAUAAAUACAAAGUGGCACAUACAGUUGGCAUUGUCUUUAUAAUUUUGAAAUUCUGGUUUGACAUCUUUACAGUAUAUAACUGGCGUAUGGGUUUUUCUUCUAUGCCCUCUGCCCAUUACAACAUUGAUUGCAUCUUUACGGUAUUUUAGUNAGUACACACAAUUAAUCUUAAUUAUUCUUAAAUGAUAAGUUAAUUUAGACGUUAUAAACGAUGAUUUCCCAAUAUUAUUUUGUUAUAUGCAUUUGUUAAAAGUUGUGUAAUAUUUGUUACAGCAUAAUAUUUAUGCAUAAUAAUAUAAGAAUUAUUGUUAAAAUUUUUUUCGAUAUUAUAGAGGCUGUUCGUACAAUUUACAGUCAUACGACGGACAACGAUAUAGCUGAGUACACGUNAAAAUGGCUUGCUCAAGCUACAUUAAGAAUUUCUAGAGAAAAGCAAAGUACUCUACAUAAAGAAAAACGACGAAGAUCAGCAAUAGGUGGCUCAAAAUGACUUUUAUUUUAUUUAAACGAAGAGAAAAAUGACAAACAUAAGAAAAGUAUUUAUUUUAUUUUAAAGAA